rnacentral:rRNA from 1 species
CCUACGGGAGGCAGCAGUGGGGAAUAUUGGACAAUGGGGGAAACCCUGAUCCAGCAAUGCCGCGUGAGUGAUGAAGGCCUUCGGGUUGUAAAGCUCUUUUGUCAGGGAGGCGGUACCUGACGAAUAAGCUCCGGCUAACUUCGUGCCAGCAGCCGCGGUAAUACGAGGGGAGCUAGCGUUGUUCGGAAUUACUGGGCGUAAAGGGCGCGUAGGCGGUAUCAUAAGUCAGAUGUGAAAGCCCCGGGCUUAACCUGGGAGGUGCAUUUGAAACUAUGGAACUAGAGAUCGAGAGAGGAAAGUGGAAUUACGAGUGUAGAGGUGAAAUUCGUAGAUAUUCGUAAGAACACCAGUGGCGAAGGCGACUUUCUGGUCAUACUGACGCUAAGGCGCGAAAGCGUGGGGAGCAAACAGGAUUAGAUACCCUUGUAGUC